UUGGUCCACACCUCCUGAUACCAGGUCAGAGCUGAACCUAUAUAAAAGGUGGAAGCUUCUAACAGCACCUCAGUCCACCUGAAUCCUGGGUGAUCUCCAGUGCUUGAGCCAGCCUCAUUCAGUUCCUGCCAAGAUGUCCUGCCAGCAGAACCAGCAGCAGUGCCAGCCCCCUCCCAAGUGCCCCCCCAAGUGCCCCCCCAAGUGCCCUCCCAA